GACGAACGCUGGCGGCGUGCUUAACACAUGCAAGUCGAACGGAAAGGCCCCUUCGGGGGUACUCGAGUGGCGAACGGGUGAGUAACACGUGAGUAACCUGCCCUUGACUUCGGGAUAACUUCAGGAAACUGGGGCUAAUACCGGAUAGGAAUCCUUGCUGCAUGGUUGGGGUUGGAAAGCUUCGGCGGUUUUGGAUGGACUCGCGGCUUAUCAGCUUGUUGGUGGGGUAGUGGCUUACCAAGGCUUUGACGGGUAGCCGGCCUGAGAGGGCGACCGGCCACAUUGGGACUGAGAUACGGCCCAGACUCCUACGGGAGGCAGAAAUGGGGAAUAUUGCACAAUGGGCGGAAGCCUGAUGCAGCAACGCCGCGUGCGGGAUGACGGCCUUCGGGUUGUAAACCGCUUUCAGCAGGGGAGAAGCUUGUGGUGACGGUACCUGCAGAAGAAGCACCGGCUAACUACGUG
rnacentral:rRNA from 1 species